rnacentral:rRNA from 1 species
AGCAUAUCAAUAAGCGGAGGAAAAGAAACCAACAGGGAUUACCUCAGUAACGGCGAGUGAAGCGGUAACAGCUCAAAUUUGAAAGCUAGCUCUUUUAGGGUUCGCAUUGUAAUUUGUAGAAGAUGUUUCGGGUGUGGCCCCGGUCUAAGUUCCUUGGAACAGGACGUCAUAGAGGGUGAGAAUCCCGUAUGUGACUGGGUGCUUUCGCUCAUGUGAAACUCUUUCGACGAGUCGAGUUGUUUGGGAAUGCAGCUCAAAAUGGGUGGUAAAUUUCAUCUAAAGCUAAAUAUUGGCCAGAGACCGAUAGCGCACAAGUAGAGUGAUCGAAAGAUGAAAAGCACUUUGGAAAGAGAGUUAAACAGUACGUGAAAUUGUUGAAAGGGAAGCGCUUGCAACCAGACUUGCGCGCUGAUGAUCAUCCGGGCUUCUGUCCGGUGCACUCGUCUGCGCUCAGGCCAGCAUCGGUUUCGGUGGUGGGAUAAAGGCCUUGGGAAUGUAGCUCCUCUCGGGGAGUGUUAUAGCCCUCGGUGCAAUGCCGCCUACCGGGACCGAGGACCGCGCUUCGGCUAGGAUGCUGGCGUAAUGGUUGUAAGCGACCCGUCUUGAAACACGGACCAAGGAGUCUAACAUCUAUGCGAGUGUUUGGGUGUCAAACCCAUACGCGUAAUGAAAGUGAACGGAGGUGAGAACCCUUAAGGGUGCAUCAUCGACCGAUCCUGAUGUCUUCGGAUGGAUUUGAGUAAGAGCAUAGCUGUUGGGACCCGAAAGAUGGUGAACUAUGCGUGAAUAGGGUGAAGCCAGAGGAAACUCUGGUGGAGGCUCGCAGCGGUUCUGACGUGCAAAUCGAUCGUCAAAUUUGCGUAUAGGGGCGAAAGACUAAUCGAACCAUCUAGUAGCUGGUUCCUGC